rnacentral:misc_RNA from 1 species
GAAUUAUAACGCUAAGUGAAAGUGUAGGAAUCAGCACCAUUACUUGUGUAACUAAAUUAGGCCUAAGAGGAUAAUUCUUCACAUAUUAACCCUAGGAAGAACUACGCCCUCUACAGGCAAGUUCUUGUAAUUAACUUGAUACGACCAAAGGCAUUCCAAACGAGUUUUCAGAAACCACCCAGUAAUCAACCUUGCACGGAAGCUUUUGUUAGUUCCGUUGAAUCCCGUUAGAGGGCACUGUAAAACAAGUGUGAUAGAAAGAGAAGGCGAAAUACGGCCGCGACGACAUGCAGGAGCGGUCGCGCGCGCUAUAGCCAAACAAAUGGUUCCGGCAGUGUGGUGAGUGCUUGCCUGCGAGCUGUGUGUGUCGACACCUCGCUCGCGUCACGUCGCGCGUGAACCAAAAUAAAUCCAUCUGUUCAAAUAUUGUGCAAGUUUUUUUUAUUAUUUCCCCCAAAAACAGACGAAACAAGAUGUGUGUGCUCCACGCUCCCAGAGGCAGCGAAUAGUUUUGAGUUCUUAUUUUGUGUAGUGCCUGUGUUUUUUGUUUUUCUGUGACUGGAUUUAUUUGAGCGGUGUAUGAAGAACGAUUAAAAGAUCGGGGUAGAGUUUAAAAUGGUGCGAUGACGUGGAAGAGAUGCUGCUGCAGCAGGCGUCGUCGUCGCCUGGUCCCAGCGGCGCGGCCAGUCCCAAACUCGCCCCGAGUCCUCGGCCCAACCCCAGCCCUAGUCUCAGCGCUAGGCUGACGGGUAGCCCGAGCUUAAGCGAUGGGCCCUCGAGUUCUAACAGCCCCAAGUUGGGCGGUAACAGCCCGAAACUGGGAGCCAGUCCCAAGUAUGGAAGUCCAAGACUCAGUGGCAGCCCUCGACCUUCGACGGCAGUGGAAGAUGAAGCAGCACUCGAAAGGCUACAAGUAGAACUGAAAGAAGGGUGGACGGUGCACACCGGGAGAGAUGGCAGGCUGUACUAUUGCAACCACAUCACCCGCACAGCCAGCUGGCUACCCCCGGUGGAGAGCUGGCCGUCAUCACGCGACGGGAGCUCUAGCAGCCAUGCCGACCCUGAUGACCUCGACGACCUGCCCUACGGGUGGGAGCAGGCGCUGGAUAGCCGCGGGAAACCUUAUUAUAUCAACCACGUCAACAAAACAACUACAUACGUGGCUCCAGAGGGCUGCGCGUGCGAGUCCCCUCCGGCGCCAAGGGACGUGGUGCUGGAGCGUGACCCAGAGCUGGGCUUCGGCUUCGUGGCGGGCUCCGAGCGGCCCGUGCUCGUACGUUUCGUCACCGACAACUCACCCAGCGUGGGCAAGCUAGAACCAGGCGACCAGAUACUAUGCGUGAACGGCGAGGAUGUGAGCUGCAGUGCGCGCGAGCACGUCAUUUCCGCGGUCCGCGCAUGCGCGGAACGCGUCACGCUGCGGGUGUGCCAGCCUGCUCGUACUGGCAACCCUAUGAGGCGAUCCGCUCUCCUGUCUGCUGCUAAAAGGGCCAGGUUAAGAGCGAGACCGCCCCGAGUGAGAUUCGCUGACUCAGUUCAGUUGAAUGGUGCACCUAUGUACCCUCCGUCAGCAUUCUCUUUGGGCGAUCUCUGCUUGCCUCCGAUGGCGAAUGUCCUCAAGGUAUUCCUCGAGAAUGGUCAGACCAAGUCGUUCAAGUAUGACACGACCACCACCGUCGCCGACGUGGUCACCAGCCUCAAAGACAAGCUCUGCAUCACCGCUGAAGAACACUUUAGUUUGGUGGUAGAGCACGUUAAGAGUGUGAGAAGGAAUAAGCUGACACUACUGGACCCGAAGGAGUCUUUGGCUAGGAUCGCCGCACGUCCAGGCUCCCACAAGAUGCGCUGCCUCUACCGAGUAGUCUUCAUGCCCUCCUCAGCAGCAGAACUAGCCCAGCGGGACCUCAACGCCCUGGACUACCUGUACAUGCAGAGCUGCAACGAUGUCGCCCAGGAACGCUUCGCUCCGGAGCUGCAGCCGGAUGUGGCGCUCAGACUGGCUGCCUUGCAUAUGCACCAACAUGCACUCGCCAAUAACUUCUCGCCAGCUAAGCUCACCGUUAAGGCUGUUGAACGAGAAUUCGGCUUGGAGCGUUUUGUGCCGAGCGGUCUUCUUGAGAGUAUGAAGAAUAAGGAGCUACGCAGGCUGAUUGCGCACUUCCUCAAGCUCAACUCGCAGAUGACGGGCAGCCAGCGGCAGCUGACGCAGCUGCAGGCCAAGCUCCACUACCUGGACAUCGUGGCUGGCCUGCCGAGUUACGGCGCCAAGUGCUUCAGCAGCACGCGGCCUGAGCGGGUACUGCUCGUGUCGCCGAGGUUUGGACUUAGUCAGAUCGUGGGCCGGAGUAACUCUGUGCCCCAACCAAUAGCCUCGUUAGAAGAAGUGGAAGCCAUCAGAGUGAAACGCGAGUGCGACGGCUGCGCCGACGUAGCCAUCUUCCUGCGGAGACACGGCGUGCUCGCCCUGUUGAUGGACGAGCGCGAUGCUGCCGAGAUGCCGCUUGUUAUUGCUGGGUAUUACCGUCUUGCUACUGGUCAAGAGUUGAACGUGGAGCAGGAAAGAGAGCCUAUCACAGAAGACAUAGCUCCACCAUAUCUAUCGCAGCACUGCGUGCUUCCAGCGAAGUGGAGCUACCUUCGCUACGACCACCCUGAUAUUCUCACGAAGAAGCACUAUGCUAUAUUCAGCAUGCCCCCUCCGUACCACUCUACGCCAGAGCAGAAAUCUUUGGACACCAAUAUGAACUCUAGUAUUACUAACAGAAACCAUAGUAAUAACUCCAGCCCUCUUAUAGGUUACGAUUCCAAGCCUGGGUUACUAGGCCACGACGUACACUUUGAGAAAUGCAAACGAAAUGAAGAGUUCAGAUUGUUCGAUCCAAACGACUCGUGUUACUUAGACGACGGUAUGGGAUUCGAUCUUCAAAGUGUUCUGUCUAUGGAACUCUUAGAGAACGCAGCGAACCCCAAACUAGUAGAAGCGAAGAACGAAGAAGUGUUAAGACGAGUAGCAGAGAUGCAGAAGCUUGUAGAAAAUUCCGAACAAUAUUUGACUGAAAACUGUGAUGCUUAUACUGAAGACUAUAAUGGUUUGUUGAGAGACGAACUGGUUGGUAAAGAAACUAGUGUAGAUCACUUAGAAAGCGAUACAGAGUCUAACAAUAGUAGAAUGUCGGCGGUCGACGAUGCGCCAGGUAUUCUCAAACAUAGUGACUCAUUGUUACUGCUAACGGAAACCAUAAAUCAAGGUUUAAGCGGUUUAAGUGUCCCAGAAACGGAAAAGGACAAUAACACUAGUUUAACCAAUCGACAAUCUCAAGGGCUUAGUGCCAUACUAAAUAAUUGUGGUCUUACUGACGCUUUAUUAGCUCUAAAUACUGAUCUUGAAAGCGAUAACGAUUCUCUUUAUACGCCAACGAACAGUCCCAUUCGAAAACAUCAACAGAAGUCAACAAACAAUAAAAUAGUUAGAACCAGCUUCGGACUGCAUAGUCCUGAUGCUACUUUAGAUAAUAAGGAAACGAAUUUGAAGGAAUAUUUGAAACAAUUGAGAGAGAAGAGUAGUAAAGAAGAAUCAGAAACAAAACUAGAGGAUUUUCCGUGUUAUUACCAAGAAAGUAUUGUAGAUAACGAUGCCGAGCUUAUAGAUUUAACUUUGAUACCUCCUCCACAAACACCAGAUGAAUUAGAUGGUGCCACGCAAGUGCCUCAAAUACUGCCUGUUGUGCCACCUUCUUUCGCCGACGAAAAAGCGAAUUCACAGGAAAAUCUUACACAAGCACCAAAGGCUAAUACAUUGGAAGAAUUUAUUGCCAAUGUGACUAUACAGCCGCCUACUGUUAAGGUUACACCUGCAAUAGAACUGACUCCUGAAGAGAUAAUGUCUUACAUCAUUCCACCACCUCCCGGAUCGAACUCGUCGACUUUAGAUAGAGAACAAGUUAGUUAUGUGAAUCAAAGCCAAAUUAUUGAAGCGGAAAAACAACUGAUAGAUGCUAACGCAAAGCCCGCAAAUGGUGAUGUAGUUAAAGGAACACUGAGUGUGAGUGAGAUUAGAAAUAUGUUUGCUGCAAAAAGUCUGAGUGACGCUAGAAACAGUUUGUUAUUACGAGAAAAAAAUAAAGCUCAAACUCAAGGAAAAUCAGACUCACCAAAGGGGAAAAGGAAAAGCGUAACAGACAAGCAAUCAAACGGCAACGCACACGUAAUAGAAUACCCAACAGUCGAAAGAAAAGGCAUGUUUUCAUGUUGCAGUAAAGAUAAAAACAAAAGCGACGAUAGUAAUGAUGAGAUGGAAAAAAUCGAAAGCCACAUUCAAAAUUCGGACUCCAUUCCAGACGUAUGCGAGAUCAGACCUCCGCCGAGAAGAAAAUCUGGUGAGAAUCGAAAACCUCCCGACCGACCUCCGAAGACCCCACCCACCCCUGCACCGAGACCUCGAUCCAACUCAUUCACGUGCCUGAACAAUGAACUGUCUGCUGUCGAGAUCACAAACAACCACUUUAGCACACUUAACAAUAGAAAGUUGAACUACAGAGUAGUCUGUGAAAUUAACGAAGGUCAAACUUAUACCGGUCAAAGUCCACCCCAGUUGCCACCACGGUUAGAGAACAGAGUCCUGUCACCGCCCCCACCUAUACUUCUACCUCCGAAAAAGCCACCACUACCUCCGGUCCCGAGCAUGGAAGUUUUACGGAUGAAAAAUUCACAGAAGCAGUCUCCCGUAAGAAAUCCAGAGCAGCGCCUCGCUAGCAUCGGCUCACCUCACUUCCAGCGUAACCUCAACACAUACCGCAACCUCGAGAACGAGAGCAGACUGGACGAAGAACCUCAAAGCAUCAGAUCGACACCAAAUUACAGUUCGAUGACGCUGCAAAGUCGUCACGUGCGAUCCCACUCCGAAACCAAGAAUACCAUUUUGAAGAACAAGGAAAUGUCUACCGCCCUCUCUCUAUGUUCUCCGCAAAUGAAUAGACGGUUUAGUAAUAGCAAUCGACCGGACAUACUGAACGGGGCUCCUGGAUCAGACCAACGAGUGUUCAGUCCACCGUUAUCAGAACGCAAAACCUUCCAACGAGAGAGUUCAAGUCCGGUUCCGAAGGUGAACCACGUUAGGUUUAAAGACGAAGUAGUGGAUGAUAUUCCGACGCCGCCGUCGCCGCCAUCGAAGAAGUUCCCGGAGCUGGCGAACAACGGCCACGUGUCGAUGGAGGCGCUGUUGUGCAAGACGGAGGUGGCGGUGGACGGGCUGCUGCAGCGGCUGCACCAGGUGGCGCAGAAGUGCUCGCACCAGCACGCGCACGGCGGCGGGGAAGACAUCGACGACAUUAAAUUCCAGCGCGCACGCAGCGAACUGACGUCAUGCGCGGUGUCUCUAGUAGGCGCGUCUCGGUCGCUGGUGGGGGCGCUGGGUAGCACCCAGGGCAGUGCCGCCGCCGCCGCCCUCGCUGACUGUCUGACUCCGCUACGAAGACUCUCUGAUCUUGCGCAGGCGCUAGGUCGUCACACAUCAGCGCCUCUCCAGACAAGAAACCUUGUUCUUCGCGUGCAUGACGUCACAGCAGCGUUCAAAGACCUAGCUGGUGCUGAAAUGGCUCAGAUUAUCCACGACCAUAACGCUAAAAGAUCCCAAAAUCAAGACAAAGACUCUACACUAGAAGGUCAGUUGGCCUUAAGAGCUGAAUGCUUGGCUAAUGUUCUUGCUACACUUCUUAGAAGCUUAAGAGUUUUUUCUCCUUAAGUUUAAGGUUAGAAUUUGUAUAAAGCGACGUGUUAAGUUUGUGUUGGCGGGAAUUUGACAGUGACAUUCCAAAAUGGCGUCUGUCCCGAACAAGAUGGCGGAGGCUAUAUAAUUUACCAUAAAUCUGAUGAAUAAAUAAUCGUCUUCGUGUAAGGAAUUAUUAAUGUAUUGAUUUCCAACGGUGUAUAGCCUUCUAUAACCUUGUUGAUAGUGUGAAUGGCUGCUAAUAAUCCUAGCAUUGUUUCAACCAAUAUCGAGCUAUACCCAGUUAGUGUAAAAUAGAUUCUUCUCCUUAGUUGUAUAAGUCUCUGUUGAAAUAUAACCGUUACUAAAAUGAGACCAAAUAAAUUUAGGUAUGUUUGUACAAUUGUAGCUACAUUUGUGUUAAUUUAAUUUGUAGUUUUUGUAAAUUUUAACAUGUGUUAAUGUUUAUAUUUUGUUGUUAAUAUAAUUUCGAUUUAGAUUUAAUUCUACAUUUCUGGCGACUUGGAAAUUCAUUUAUGUCUGUCAAUUCUAAGCAAAAUUUAAUCAGCAUUUUAUAGUUCUUUGAAGAACGUUAUAAAUUUUGACAAAAGACUCAUAAUUUGAAUUUUCCAAUUCGCCUGUUUCAUUGGUCUAUGACUCCGUAGGCGAAAUGUUACCAUAGUGAAUAAUUAAAAUUAAUUUAUGUAUACAUAUCUACAUAUUUACACAAGUACAUAUAUUUUUUACUCUAAGAGUGAUCGUUGCGACUGUAACCACCAUAUCUUCUAAAUGUCUAACUAACCAUAUCUCGUAUGACUUCGGCAUUGAUGUUGACUCCAGCACACACAACUAAUUUUAUUUUAAGUUACACCUGUCAUUUUCGUAUCCGCUGAAAAGGAAAGGGACGGAUAAUUGUAACUUAAAGGAGUGAAUGAAACAACGACCCGGAGGAAUCAAAUAGCCAUCUCGCUGGUAUGCAGCUCGUUUGACGUGUGCUGUCAACUUAUUUCUGUCGGGUUACGUCAACGUAAUUUAAAAGCAAAUUCGGAAUUUGUUGUAUACGAUUUCACGCGUAAAAAUGACGUAGGUAUCUGUGUGUGUGUGUGUUAUUUUUUUUUAGGGUAUGGUUUAUCGUUUACCCGUCCCUUUCCUUUUCGGCGGAUAAGUAAAUGACAAAUAGAACUUAAAAUAAAAUAAGGAAGGUCUACUAGAAUCAGCACCAUUAUUUACUUAUAUUGCAAUAAGUUAGAAUUGCAUAAUAAAAUAGCGAUCAUAGAAGAGGCUUGACAGCUUGCCGCAGUCUGUGUUUCCUUCGCUUAUGAAUAACAAAUUUUAAAAUCAAUGGUUUAGGCUCAUACUGGAUUUGAACCUGCGACCUCACGAUGAGAGCCAAGCAUUCUUCCGACUGGGCUACUACUUGUGUUGUGUUUAUGUUGUUUACGAUAUUUCCGGGAUGAAAGCGUAUUCUGUUAUUUUUUUACUCCCAAUCUAUCACAACAUAACAUAAACAGCCCACCUAUAUACGUCCCACAACUGGGCACAAGCCUCCACUCAUUCCACUGGAGGGGGUAACGUGCAUACUCUGUCUUGCUACUCCGCUAUGGGUUGGUUGUGUUUGGCAUAGAAACACGGGGCCAACGGCUUGACGUGCCUUCCUUAGCACGGAAUCAUCUUAAUUUUUCCAAUUUAUCAUAUACCUAAAUAAUAAAGCCAAGAUGAUUGAUAAAGCCACACACACCCACACCAACAUUUUUGAGAAAUGCAUUUCCGAAUGUAUGUGACCUAACCUGUAUUGGGCUGGUUUUCCCUUCGCGGGUUGGACGGUCAGACAGGCAGUCGCUUCUGUAAAAACCGGACCUGUCAAAUCUUCAGACUAGGUAAGCGGACCCGUCAAUUUUUCAGGUUAGACAAGCGUAACCUGUGAAAAACGGAAUAAUGCUAGGGAGACGAUGAUGAGAGAUAAAGCCAAGGACAAAAAGGAAAACAUAGAAUGUUCCCAUCAAGCUUGUCACCACGGGGUCUCGUGCAAUUUAACUUAUGCGAUGGAAUCUUGUAUAACAUAGUGAAGUUAUUUCGAAAUACCCAUAUAACUUCCAAGGAGUAGGCUAUUCAAGAAACAUGGAAUGCUAUUAAGUAUAAAAGAUUGAGGGUAAACUGCCUAUUUCUCCCAUCAGGUGUCGCUACUGUUGAGUUUUCUUACCAUACUUCACCGGCCUCCGUGGUCCAGUGGUUGAGCGUUGUGCUCACGAUCCGGAGGUCUCGAAUUCGAAUCCCGGUGGGGACAAAUCACUUGCUUAAUGUCCACAGGCGGAUCACCUGAUUGUCCAAAAGUAAGAUGAUCCGUGCUUCGGAAGGCACGUUAAGCCGUUAGUCCCGGUUACUACUUACUAAUGUAAGUACGUAGUCGUUAUAUGAGCCAUGUCAGGAGUCUUUGGCGGCUCAACAGGAACCCUGACACCAGGGUUGAUGAGGUUGGUAAUUCACCUCACAACCCACACGAUAGAAGAAGACAUCAGUCAGUCAGUCAUUUCGAUAUAUCAGUGGCCACACCAUGGAAUUCCAGUUACUACGAACCUAACGCGCCACAUUCCCAAAGAGAAAAAUAUAAAUAGAAUUAGUUGCUAUUUUCGGAGAAGAUCUCAUCAUCAUUAUCAUCUUCCUAGCAUUAUCCCGUUUUUCACAGGGUCCGCUUACCUAACCUGAAGAUUUGACAGGUCCGGUUUUUUACAGAAGCGACUGCCUGUCUGACCUUCCAACCCGCGAAGGGAAAAC